UUAAAUUUGGCAUGAGUGAAUAGAUUUAGCAAAUACUUCAAUAGGUAACUCCUGGAUCCCCUGCUAGUCGUGCUGGGUUCCGUCCUGGUGAUGUCGUCAUCGAGUUCGAUAAGCAACCUGUUGGCAGUAUCCAAGAGAUCAUUGAAAUUAUGGGAGAUAGAGUUGGGAUUCCAUUGAAGGCAGUUGUGAAAAGAUCACUUAAUGGCAUCAUCACUCUGACUGUUCUUCCUGAGGAGUCCAAUCCAGAUAUGUGAUACUAUUACCCUCACUACACAAUCAAUUCAAUUCUUUCAUAUUUCCCAUGAUUUGGUUAUGGCUUAGGGUUAGAACUCGAUACCUUAACCAUCUCGUGUAAAGUUGUAUAGGAUGUUUAAGUUUAGUUUAUGAACUUUUAAGGUUGUCUAUUUCGUCGUUGAACUUUAAAGAACUAGACUUGUAAUUUGACUAGAAAUAGUCGUAG